UACGUAGGGGGCAAGCGUUGUCCGGAAUUAUUGGGCGUAAAGAGCGUGUAGGCGGCUUUACAGGUCCGUUGUGAAAACUCGAGGCUCAACCUCGAGACGCCGGUGGAAACCGUAAAGCUAGAGUCCGGAAGAGGAGAGUGGAAUUCCUGGUGUAGCGGUGAAAUGCGUAGAGAUCGGGAGGAACACCCAUGGCGAAGGCAGCUCUCUGGUCGGUCUCUGACGCUGAGAUGCGAAAGCGUGGGGAGCGAACGGG
rnacentral:rRNA from 1 species